rnacentral:lncRNA from 1 species
AGACCUAUCACAAAGAUAGGUUGUUGACUUAAAUGUCUGGUAUUAUUUAUUUGCUUUAGCAGAGACCCAAAGUCCUCAUCAACAAUUCACAUCAUCCACCACAGAAAGAACAUCGAGAAAGCAUCCCACACUUCAUGGCACAAGCUCGCCAAUCACAACAACAGGGCAUAUAGCUUUGACAACAACAAAUGAAGUUGUCACAACCAAAACAAGAAGAACCACCAGCCAGCCAACUUUGAUGAGCACAACAAAAGAGACGGAGUCUAUUACAACAACCAAUGAGACAACAACCAGCUACACAAGCAGAGAAUAUAUGACAACAACAUCGUCACAUACGCUGUCAGGCUCUUUCACUACAACAACAGGUGAAGCCAUUUACUAUGAUGGGUUAAGGUGCAUGGGGCUAACUAGUUAACACAAAAAAUAACAUUCUGUCAUUAUUUACUCACCCUUGUGUCAUCCCAAGCCAAUAUGACUUUCUUUCUUCCACAGAACCCAAAAGGAGAAGUUUAGCAGAAUGUUCACGCUGCUCUUUUCCAUAUAGUAUAUAAAGACCAAGAGCUGUCAAGCUCUUUAUUUACUCAUGUACACAUUCAAUCUUCCUAUAAACAUGUCGCAACAAGUUUGAAAAAGUCAUAGAGGUUUGGAAAAACAUAAAUGAUGACAGAAUUUCCAUAAUAAUCUUCAUUAAGCUAAAUCAUUGUUUAGGUAUAAAAAUGUGUUCUAACACUUAUUAAUCCGGGCUCAGACUACAGGAGUUUUAAAAUCCUAACCGAUUAUGAAAUCUGGUUGCAGCACACCCAUAAAGAGAAACUUCACAGAUUUUCUUCCCUCAAAUCGUAUACAUACACAUAUUAGCUAGCACGCUAGCAGCUUUCAACACUCACGUUCAAAACUGAGGUGAUUUCACCCCAGAGCUUGUCUUUGUCCUUUGACAAAGGGUGGUACAUUUUUGACACAUUUUACAAACUGUCGUGUCAUUGCAAAACUUCCACACGCAAUUUCCUCUAUCUCCACUAUUUAACGGACCUGUACAGCAGCUUGUUUUGUGGUCGCACAUUGGCUAUUGUGAAAGUUCUGAUGUAAUCAUAGCCGGAGGUGCAAGAUUCGAUCUGUAAACGCCUCACAUUACCUGAUAAUCCGCGCCGAACAUCGGAACCGACCGAGGUCCUUCACAAGACUUUUUCUCAGAUUCUCUGUAAAUCAGAAAUACCGGUAAAUCGGCCUAAAACUCUUGUAGUGUGAGCCCGACUUUAGAGAGGAAUUCACUAAAAAGUAAAACCCUUUUUUGCACAUGGUACAUCAGCGUAAUACCUGAGUCUUAUUCACUAACCAUCACAAUCCAGUUUACCGAGGGCAGGGCUGAAAUUGCACUGCGUAGUCAAUAUUUAAAUGAACUAGUGAAGUCACUGCCAUUCCUUUUCAUGCAAAUACGCCUCCUUUAGUCUCAAUAUAGACUAUUCUUUAGUCUCAAUAUCGACUGUUCUUUAGUCUCAAUAUAGACUAUUCUUUAGUCUCAAUAUCGACUGUUCUUUAGUCUCAAUAUAGACUGUUCUUUAUUCGCAAAAAUUGCCUGGCACAAUUUGUACUGCACUAUUACCACCAAUAAAAACCUGUCUGUUUACUUACGGUAAUUAACAGAUAUGGGUGUCAUGCCA